UCCGUCAACUGCCGUCCUCAUCCCUUCGGCUCUUCUCUAUUCCCCUCACCGUCUCCACUGCUCGACACGCACCACCAGGACGGCUCCUCCGGCGAGCGGCCAUCUCCAUCUCCUCCGCAUGCGCGGCCAGGAUGCCUCUUAUGUGUGUGCCAUGACGAGCCUCUUGCAGAUCCAGAUCCACACGGGCAUGUUGGUGGGGUGUGCUUGCCGCAGUGGAGGCUAGCUGCGUUGGGGGUGCAUCUCCGGUGAUGCUGACCUGCAAGGCUGCACGGCUCGUCCAUGGUGGCGGCUGGCUAGGGUUUGGGCCUGCCCAUCUCUAGCCCCAUGAUCUCAUUGGCAACCACGGACUCGCGUCGUCUUACGCAUCAGCAGGGACAACUACAGACAUAACUUCCAGGGUAGAUUCCAUUUGCCUUCAUCUCCUUUCUUCUCUUAUGUUUGUUGGAUCGCACUGCAUCCCAUCUUAAAAUCUGUAAACCUCUAAGUUUCUGAGCAUAAUGUGAUUGUGAUAGAACACCAUGUAAUUUCUUCAUACUUGAUUACGCUCCUACUUGAGAAAUCGCUGUGGUCUAGGGUUAAUUUUGCAUCCUGGUAACUUAGUAUAAUUAUGAUUGCGAACUGGUAUCACCCAAUAGAAAUUUGGAUGGUCUGCUCUGGUGAUUGCAUCUCGUGAUUAUUUCUGUGUACUACCUGUAUUAGUAUAAUUAUGCAUCAGUGCUUCUGUACAAUCUUUUAUUCAGGCCCAAUCCUAUUAUUUAGUACUUGUGUCUUUCUCGCUGGUCAUAGAAAUAAGUAUUUGAGAGAUUAAGUCCUGCUUUCUUUCUUUUCAAAAAUUAUAGCUUAUCCUGUCUUUUUGUUCCGAAAUAAAUACUUGUGGCUUCUUGCUAUUACCUCUAUUUAAUACGUCAAAGGUUUAGAAUUGUGAAGUAUCUUGGCAGCCUGGAGAACAGAGCUGCAGCGAGAUUGGAAGUGUUUGAUUGGUUAACAAAAGCUUCUAGGUGGAUAUGCUGCAGCCUGCAGCUCUCUAGGUAUUUUUGAAGCAACCUCUUUUUUGAUCGCUCAAAGAAAAGCCCUUUUUAGAGGCCCGUAUACUGUGAAAAUAAAGUGCUCCACAAUCAGAUGCCAAUUUGAGCACUUCUAAGCUGAAGAAUGUAAUACCUAGGAGGUAUCACCUGCAGAUGUUGGAAACUCCAUGUGAUACAGUGAUAGCUGGUGGCUGGGACAAUGGACAAGGAGUGUUUGAUCAAACGGACAGAUCUGCUAUAUCUUGCUAAAGGCCAUGGUUUAUUUUUGAUCAAGUUUCAUAGAAGUUCUGAAAGAGCUGGAACACAGGCAUUUCAGUCCUGCUUCAGAGAUGAACAGAUUGCAAGACACAUCAUGCAUAUGUUUUGUUGUACAGUUGAGGAUAUGAUCAUGUGGAGCACGAAGGAUUAUUUGAGUGAAUGCAUUUCGGGAUAAAUUAGUCAUAUGUUCAAUUUCAGUUUUUUUUAUCCCUGUAUGCUAUCAACAACCAUGUAAAGAGAAUCCUUGUAACUGAAAUUAUUUAUCUAAUAAGAUCAUUCUCAAUUUUUUUUA